rnacentral:rRNA from 1 species
UGGGGAAUAUUGCACAAUGGGCGAAAGCCUGAUGCAGCGACGCCGCGUGAAGGAAGAAGUAUUUCGGUAUGUAAACUUCUAUCAGCAGGGAAGAAAAUGACGGUACCUGACUAAGAAGCCCCGGCUAACUACGUGCC